rnacentral:lncRNA from 1 species
UUCCUCAGUUUUGUUGAUCGAAUUUUUCUCAUGAGCAAAUAUACUUCUCUUUCUAUGUGCAGUGCUAGUAGGUUUGUUACUAAUGAACAAAAAAUAAAAUAAUUGGAUAAUAUAGAAGCAUGGAUCUAUAGAAAAUGUGCAGUAGAAACUCUGCUCUUGUUCCAGUUAUAUUCAAAUUUCAAAAUUUGACAUGCAGUCUGUGCAUCAAUAUUCUAGAAUCAAUGGAUAAAUUUUCUGAGCAAUAAUAUGAUGAAAAAUCUUUGUAGAUCCAAAUUGUAUAUAGAGGCAUAAGAAUGAAGAGAUGUCCAGGGGGCCUAAUCUAUUGCAUUUU